rnacentral:lncRNA from 1 species
ACAAAAUAUAGUUACAACUUCUCAUUAUUACCACCUAAACUAUUUUUUAACGAGUAGGUAAAUCAAGGCUCGCAAUUGUACAUAUAUUUAUUCUAUCUAUGUAAAAAUAACGCCAUUUACAAAGGCACACGAAUUAUAAAAUCCGAUGGUAAAACACGAUAGUAAAAUCCGAUGGUAAAAUAUGAUGGUAAUAUACGAUGGUAAAAUACGAAGGUAAAAUACUAUAUACUAAAAGUGAAAAAAAAAAAAAAAAAAAAGUAAUAACAUCGGUAAAAUAAUAGAACAUAACAAAUAUAUAUAUGGGUACAAAUGUGCAUGUAUAAAUUUAUAUAUAUGAAUAUGCAAAUCAGAUUUUCAAGCUAACAUAUACACUUAUGCGCAUUUUUAUAAAAUUGCCUGUCCAUGUUCGUAACACUUAUAUAAAUCGAUAAAAAAAAAAAAAAAAAAAAAAAAAUUUUAUAAAAAAAAAAAAGCACGUGUGAAUAUAUUUAUAUAUUAGAAAAAAAAAAGUAUUUACAAACAAAUGAGUAUAUUAAAAAAAAAAAAAAUGUUUAACCAAUUAAAUUAAAUGAAAAUAUUAUUUUUGCAUUAUUAUUUUGAUUUUAUAAACAACACAUGUGCGAUAACUAAUCGUUCUUUUAUAAACUAUAAGACAUUAUAUUAUAAAAAAAGAAAGAUUAUAAGAUGCUUUCACACGUCUAUAGAAAAUGGAACAAUAUAUAAUCAAACACAAAAUGAUAAAAAAGCAGUGCUUUUGAAAUGUAAAAAAAAAACAAAAAAUGUGGCACAUACAGAUAGUGCAACACAAAGGGAUGGAGUAACACGAAUAAACGACGUAGCACAAACAAAUACUUUAUCCCACAUAUGCUCCGUCCCAAAUAAUCGCUCAUCUGACGGUUUAGUUAGGAAUUCUCUUGAAGAAGCAAAAAUAAAAUUAUUUAAAGAAAACUUAAAAAAAUAUAACUUCUUCAAUAUUUAUUUUGAUAAAAUAACUAAACCAAUUACCAAAUUAAAAAAAAAAAAAAAAAAAAAAAUUGUUAAUGUAAAUAGUGUUAUACAUUUUGAUAAUUAUAUUCACGAAUUUAAUUUAGAUUCUUUAUUAAUAUAUACAAAAAAUAAAUUUGAAGAAUUUAAAAAAAUAAAAGAUAUACAAUUAAAGAAUAAUUACUUUUUCACAUUUUUUAACAUAUUUAUUCAAUUUAAUAAAAUAAUAAGUCAUUUUUUUUACUAUCAAAAUGAUACGGAAUACAAACAAAAUUUCAUUUACACAUUUCAAUUUUGCAUAGACCAUAUAAAUCUAAAUCGAAAUAAAAACAAAAUUAAACAUAUAUACGAUGAAACCUUUUUUAUUAACAUAUUACAAUUUAUAAAAAUAUUUAAUAAAGUUGGUUUUUUUAGUACUAUCAAAAGUGUAAAUGUUUAUGAUAUAAAACAUAAUUUAGAAAGGUAUAAUAGAACAAGUGCACAAGUAUGUAAUAGAGCAAAUACACAAGUAUCCAACGAAAAAGUUGAUAGUGUAAGGUUAUUUUAUGAUUAUAUGAGUAGUAGUGGUAGUAGUAGUGGUAGUAAUGGUAGUAGUAAUAGUAGUAGUAAUAGUAUUACUGAUUGUGAAAAAAAUGAUUCAAAUUUUAUAGCCAAUUUAAAAAUAUUUGAUGAUAAAUUAACGGAAACUAUGAAUGAUGGAAGUGUAUCAUUUUUUUACAAAGGAAGUGUAAAUGAAAAAGAAAAAAAUGGUAGUUUAAAAUAUACAAAUAAAAAUAAUGCUUGUGUAAACACAAAUACGAGCAGCUUUAACAAUUUUAACAAUAAAAAAUGGUAUACAGAGAAAGAUCUAAUACCUAGUAGGGCUCAAAAAAAUAUUACCAGUAAUAGCAACGAUAAAAAUGAAAAUAAUAUUCAUAAUUUUUUAACAUUAGUAAAAGGGUUUAGUACUACUUUAAAACUUUUAAUUAAAUAUCUAAAUGAUGACUGCUUAAUAAGACUAUUUUUGUAUUCUCCAAAUUUGUUUAAUACAAACUGUGACAUCAAAGAAGUGUUACAAUUUUAUAAAGAAAUGUAUGAGAGGAUCAGAAAAAUGAAAAAUAUUAACAAUAAAAACUUAGCCUUUAUUUUAAAUUCAUGUAAUUAUCAUUUAAAAGAAGAAAAUAUACACUUAUUGAAGCAUUUGCAUCAUAAAAUCAUGGUAAAUGGUCAAUAUGUGAUGGGUAGUAGUAGUAGUAGUAGUAUUAGUAGUGGUAGUAGUAGUGGUAGUAGUAGUAGUGGUAGUAGUAGUAGUGGUAGUAGCAGCACUCUUAGCACCACUUGCAGUAGCAAUCGCGUUAAUUAUAACAGUUGCAACAACCGACAUAAGCAUAAUAACAUUUAUAACAUAACUCCUUCUCAUUUAGAAAAUGUCAUAUACACGUUUUCGAAAAAUAAAUAUAAAGACAAAAAAUUAUUUUUAUUGUUUCGUGAAAUUAUUAUAGAGAAGUAUAACGGUUUUUCUUGUAUUACUUGCAUAAAUAUUUUAAAUAGUUUUGUUAAGCUACGUUAUGAAAAAUUAAUAUUUGAUAUCCUUUAUGAAAAACUAAAGUGUUUUGACAUUCUUACUUUUAUGAUAUGUAAAGGGAAUAAUAUUAUUAAAUUGAUUAAUACAUUAUUGCAAAUCGAAACUCGAAACAGCUAUAAAUAUGGUACUUUUGAUAUACCUAGAAAGAUGUGCAAUAUGAGUAAUGGAACAUACGUAUAUAAUGACCAUAAAGAAAAAAAGAAUAAUAUCAUAAUAAAUGUUAAAAAACAAGAGUCUCAUAAUAAUAAGAACGCCCAUUGUAUUAAAAAAAAUAUAACUGAUAAAGAAAUAUAUGUAACUCUUAUUACUGCUUUAUUAUAUGAACUAAAAAC